rnacentral:rRNA from 1 species
AGUGAACGCUGGCGGUAGGCCUAACACAUGCCAGUCGAACGGCAGCACAGUAAGAGCUUGCUCUUACGGGUGGCGAGUGGCGGACGGGUGAGGAAUACAUCGGAAUCUACUUUUUCGUGGGGGAUAACGUAGGGAAACUUACGCUAAUACCGCAUACGACCUACGGGUGAAAGCAGGGGAUCUUCGGACCUUGCGCGAUUGAAUGAGCCGAUGUCGGAUUAGCUAGUUGGCGGGGUAAAGGCCCACCAAGGCGACGAUCCGUAGCUGGUCUGAGAGGAUGAUCAGCCACACUGGAACUGAGACACGGUCCGGACUCCUACGGGAGGCAGCAGUGGGGAAUAUUGGACAAUGGGCGCAAGCCUGAUCCAGCCAUACCGCGUGGGUGAAGAAGGCCUUCGGGUUGUAAAGCCCUUUUGUUGGGAAAGAAAAGCAGCAGGUUAAUACCCCGCUGUUCUGACGGUACCCAAAGAAUAAGCACCGGCUAACUUCGUG